AAUCAACGCUGGCGGCGUGCCUAACACAUGCAAGUCGCACGAGAAAGUGGAGCAAUCCAUGAGUACAGUGGCGCACGGGUGAGUAACACGUGAAUCAUCUACCUCCGAGUGGGGAAUAACCUAGGGAAACCUGGGCUAAUACCGCAUAACACUUACGAGUCAAAGCAGCAAUGCGCUUGGAGAGGAGUUCGCGGCAGAUUAGCUAGUUGGUGGGGAAUGGCCUACCAAGGCGAUGAUCUGUAUCCGGCCUGAGAGGGCGCACGGACACACUGGAACUGAAACACGGUCCAGACUCCUACGGGAGGCAGCAGUGGGGAAUUUUGCGCAAUGGGGGAAACCCUGACGCAGCAACGCCGCGUGGAGGAUGAAAU
rnacentral:rRNA from 1 species